rnacentral:tRNA from 1 species
GGGCUUGUGGGGUAGCUAGGAUAUCCUAAUGGCCUUCGAAGCCGAGGACCCGGGUUCAAAUCCCGGCAAGCCCGCCA